AGGAGUUUUUGUCCAGGUCGCAUCCAGCCAUGACUUGCAACACCCGUACGCAACGUUCCCAAACAGGAAGUUUGACAACCUCAGUGGAAAAACAGUAAUGAAGGUAAUAUUCCAGAAAUGUUGUGUGAAUGCGAGCGUUGUGCGGCGCUGUGCACACGAGUGGAAUAGGUGUAGAGACGUUGCGGACUUACUGGAAGAUGACACGCAGGCUGAGCUGGCAAGGACAGGCUGGAGGUUUCAUAUCCAGAAGGAGAGGUUAAACAACGACAUUUAGCCUGAAGUUCCUGAACUGGACAACAAAUUUCGCUUAUCGGCCUGCCUGACUACAAAUGAUGGAUAUCGGCCCAGAAAAGACCAUAUGGGUCCAUCUCUAUGAAAGAUGGUGCAGCAUGUUUGGGGGAUGAGGGUUACAAAACCCUGAAAAAGUCAAUGAGUCACCUCCAAAGAUACGUUCAGAUAUGUGAGCUCUGCUCCCUGAUGAGUCCAGACGCUAUUUUCAUCUGCUUGUGUCAUUUCUCCAACAACACCAGACGGACACACAAAAGACAAACCAUGAUAACUGAAGGCUACCAUGUAUAACCUAGUCAAUACAGUACAACCAACUUGUGUUAGGGGCCACAUAAAUUUCUCCCGCAGAAAAAAGUCGUAUUAUCCCAGCAGGCACAAGGAAAUGAUACAACGUUGAUUACACGUACAUGUCCUUUAACACGGACUUUGCAACAACAUUGAAAAAUAGUUUUAUCUGUAGAUUGAGACAACGUUGGUGUCUAACAUUGGUUCCAUGUUGUUGGUUGGGAAAUGAUCAAAUUUCAACGGUCGAAUCGACGUCACAACCCAACAUUGAUUAACCGUCAUCAAAAAGCGUGUUGUUUCAAUGUUGUAUUUGUGUUGUAGAAUAUUGGUUGGAGAAUGACCGAAUUUCAACAUCAUAUCAAAAUCACAAACCAACAUUGAUUAAACGUUGUCAAAAAGCAUGUUUUUUCAACGUUAUAUUUGUGUUGUAGAAUAUUGGUUGGGAAAUUAUCAAAAUUCAACGGUCAAAUCAACGUCACAACCUGGCAUUGAAUAAACGUAGUCAAAAAUCAUGUUGUUUCAACGUUGUAUUUGUGUUGUAGAAUAUUGGUUGGGGAAUUACCAAAAUUCAAUGGUCAAAUCAACGUAACAACCCAACAUUGAAUAAACUUUGUCAAACAGCAUGUUGUUUCAACGUUGUAUUUGUGUUGUAGAAUAUUGGUUGGAAAAUGACCAAAUUUCAAUGAUCCAGUUAACGUCACAAACUGACAUUAAAUAAACAUACCGUAGUCAAAAAAAUGAUGUUGUUUCAACAUUGUAUUUGUGCUAUUGGAGAUUGGUUGGGAAAUGACCAAUUUUCAACGGUCAAAUCAUCGUCAGAACCCAACAUUGAAUAAACGUCGUCAAAAGGCAUGUUGUUUCAACAUUAGGUUUGUGUUGUAGGGUAUUGAUUGGGAAAUGACCAAAAUUCGAUGUCAAAUCAACGUCACCACCCAACAUUGAAUAUACAUCGUCCAAAAGAAUGUUGUUUCAACGUUGUACUUGUGUUAUAAAAUAUUGGUUAAAAGAUGACCAAAUUUCAAUCUUCAAAUCAUCGUCACAACCUGACAUUGAAUAAAUGUUGUCAAAAGCAUGUCGUUUCAACGUUGUAUUUGUGUUGUACAAUAUUGGUGGGCAAAUAACUAAAUGUCAACGGUCAAAUCAACGUCAAAAACCAUCAUUGAAUAAAUGUUGUCAAAAAGCAUGUUUUUCUAAUGUUGUAUUUGUGUUGUAAAAUAUUGGUUGGGAAAUGACCAAAUUUUAAUGUCGAAUCAAUAUCGGAACCUGACAUUGAAUAAAAGUUGUCAAAAAGUA